UACGUAGGGUGCGAGCGUUGUCCGGAAUUAUUGGGCGUAAAGGGCUCGUAGGCGGUCUGUUGCGUCGGGAGUGAAAACUCAGGGCUUAACCCUGAGCCUGCUUCCGAUACGGGCAGACUAGAGGUAUGCAGGGGAGAACGGAAUUCCUGGUGUAGCGGUGAAAUGCGCAGAUAUCAGGAGGAACACCGGUGGCGAAGGCGGUUCUCUGGGCAUGAUCUGACGCUGAGGAGCGAAAGUGUGGGGAGCGAACAGG
rnacentral:rRNA from 1 species